GGCCUCGUAGCUCAGUUGGCAGAGCAUUGCCAUUGGACUAGUAUCCCAAAGGUCGUGGGUUCGAUUCCCACCGUGGUCA
rnacentral:tRNA from 1 species